rnacentral:rRNA from 1 species
UACAGAGGUCCCAAGCGUUGUUCGGAUUCACUGGGCGUAAAGGGUGCGUAGGUGGUCAGGUAAGUCGGAUGUGAAAUCUCGGAGCUUAACUCCGAAACUGCAUUGGAAACUACCUGGCUCGAGGAAUGGAGGGGGGACUGGAAUUCCCGGUGUAGCGGUGAAAUGCGCAGAUAUCGGGAAGAACACCCGUGGCGAAGGCGGUUCUCUGGGACGGUACUGGACGCUGAGACGCGAAAGCGUGGGGAGCGAACAGG